UCUUUUGAAAAAUAGAUUUUUAUAUUUAUGUGGACGGUCUAUGGAAAACACUUAGUUUUUAAUAUGAAAAAUAGAUAAUUAAUUAUAAAAUGAUAAAUUAUUAUAAAUUUAAAAAUUUCAUUAAAAAAUAAUGCAAUGUUUACAGAGGAAAUUACAUGUUUACCACUUUCAUGGUACCACUUUUCAUUUUUACCACCACUAAUAAGACAUUUUCAAAAAUACAUUUUUCAUUAAGUGGCAAAAGACUCUUAUGCCCUUGUUAUUUAUAUAUAUAUAAUAAAUCAUUAUUUAAAUAAAAAAAUAAAAUUAAAAUUAAAAAAAAUAAAAAAAUAAAAAAAAUUUAUAUAUUUUUUAAAUAUUUAUUUAUAUAUUUAUUAGAAUCAUGAAUUUCACAUUCCCAAAACCCUACCCCACCCCUCAACUAUAAACCCUAAGUCUAGAUUAGUUAACCCAAAGUGUAUAAUUGUAUUUUAUCAUUCAUUAAAAGUGAGGGUAAAAGUGGUUAGUGUAAACAUGAAAAGUGGUACUAUGGAUGUGGUAUUUGUGGCAAUUUCCCAUGUUUACAAUUAAAAGAUAAUUCUUUUACAUUCUUUUGGAUUCCUAUUAUCGAUUGAUUAAUUUAUACCAAUUUUAUUUUGACUAUUGUAGUAUUUACAUUUUCUAUAUUGUAUAUUACUUUUAAUAUAGUAUUUUCAUUUUUUAAAUUGUGUACUUAAUUGCUAUUAUUUUUGUAUAUCAUAUAAUUACAUACUUAAAUGCAUAUUUACAUGUAAAUAAUUUUUACAUUUUAAGAUAUAUGUCUAAUGUAGGAUUUCCAUUUUUUUUUUUUUACAUUUUAAGAUAGAUGUUUAAUGCUUAACGUACUUUUUCCAUUUUUUAUAUUAUGUAUUUACUGAUCAAUAUUAUUUUCGUAUAUUACAUAUAUACAUAAUAUCUAUAUUUUACAUUUUAAGAUAAAUGUUUAAGGCUUAAUGUACUUUUUCUAUUUUUUUUUAAUUGUGUAUUUACGUUUUAAGAUGAAUAUUUAAUGCUUAAUGUACUUUUUAUAUUUUAUAUUAUGUAUUUACUUAUUAAUAUUAUUUUUGUAUAUUAUAUAUUUUUAAAAUUGUGUAUUUACUUAUUAUUGUAUAUAUAAUUCGUAUAUUAUAUAUUUAUGCAUUUAAAUGUAUAUUUACUUAUAUUUUCGUAUGUACUUACUUAUUAUUACUUUUUGUAUAUUAUAUAUUUACAUAUUUAAAUUUAUAUUUACAUGUAUUUAAUUUUAUAUUUUAAGAUAGAUGUCUAAUGUAAUAUUUUCAUUCUUUCUUUUUUUUUUUUACAUUUUAAGAUAGAUGUUUAGUGCUUAAUGUAAUUUUUUCAUUUUUAUAUUAUGUAUUUACUUAUUAAUAUUAUUUUAGUAUAUUAUAUGUUUACUUAAUAUCAAUAUUUUACAUUUUAAGAUAGAUGUUUAAGGUUUAAUGUACUUUUUCUAUUUUUUUAAAAAUUAUGUAUUUACAUUUUAAGAUACAUUUUUAAUGCUUAAUAUAUUUUUAUAUUAUGUAUUUACUUAUUAGUAUUAUUUUUGUAUAUUAUAUAUAUAUUUAAAUUGUGUAUUUACUUAUUAUUGUAUAUAUAAUUUGUAUAUUAUAUAUUUACAUAUUUAAAUGUAUAUUUACUUAUAUUUU
rnacentral:lncRNA from 1 species